AUUGAACGCUGGCGGCAGGCCUAACACAUGCAAGUCGAGCGGAUGAAGGGAGCUUGCUCCUGGAUUCAGCGGCGGACGGGUGAGUAAUGCCUAGGAAUCUGCCUGGUAGUGGGGGAUAACGUCCGGAAACGGGCGCUAAUACCGCAUACGUCCUGAGGGAGAAAGUGGGGGAUCUUCGGACCUCACGCUAUCAGAUGAGCCUAGGUCGGAUUAGCUAGUUGGUGGGGUAAAGGCCUACCAAGGCGACGAUCCGUAACUGGUCUGAGAGGAUGAUCAGUCACACUGGAACUGAGACAAGGUCCAGACUACUACGGGAGGCAGCAGUGGGGAAUAUUGGACAAUGGGCGAAAGCCUGAUCCAGCCAUGCCGCGUGUGUGAAGAAGGUCUUCGGAUUGUAAAGCACUUUAAGUUGGGAGGAAGGGCAGUAAGUUAAUACCUUGCUGUUUUGACGUUACCAACAGAAUAAGCACCGGCUAACUUCGUG
rnacentral:rRNA from 1 species